GCCGACUUAGCUCAGGGGUAGAGCAAUUCCCUCGUAAAGAAUAGGUCACGGGUUCAAAUCCCGUAGUCGGCUCCA
rnacentral:tRNA from 1 species